AUUGAACGCUGGCGGCAUGCCUUACACAUGCAAGUCGAACGGCAGCACGGGUGCUUGCACCUGGUGGCGAGUGGCGAACGGGUGAGUAAUACAUCGGAACAUGUCCUGUAGUGGGGGAUAGCCCGGCGAAAGCCGGAUUAAUACCGCAUACGAUCCACGGAUGAAAGCGGGGGACCUUCGGGCCUCGCGCUAUAGGGUUGGCCGAUGGCUGAUUAGCUCGUUGGGGGGGUAAAGGCCUACCAAGGCGACGAUCAGUAGCUGGUCUGAGAGGGCGACCGGCCACACUGGGACUGAGACACGGCCCAGACUCCUACGGGAGGCAGCAGUGGGGAAUUUUGGACAAUGGGCGAAAGCCUGAUCCAGCAAUGCCGCGUGUGUGAAGAAGGCCUUCGGGUUGUAAAGCACUUUUGUCCGGAAAGAAAUCCUUGGCUCUAAUACAGUCGGGGGAUGACGGUACCGGAAGAAUAAGCACCGGCUAACUACGUG
rnacentral:rRNA from 1 species